rnacentral:lncRNA from 1 species
CGUGGUUCGGCGUGGGGCCUAGUCGCUACGAAGCACGAAGACAGGUAAAUGUGAAAUGGGGAAGGAAGAUCGGCGUCUGUGAACGGGGAAUACGUAGGAAACUUUGUGUCUAACGAGAUCACGAGAUGCCGAAUUCGGGCCUUCACAUGGCCUGUGUACAGCUCUGUGAUGUCUUAAGCAUCUAACUCCACAGCAAAGCAGUACCGACAUGUUCUUUCGGUUCCCCAAAGACAACAGGUACUGGCCCACGGCCACCUCCAAGUAGAACAUGGGAACCGCCGUCGUGAGGAGGCAGAUGAAGUACGGCACGAGGAAUGCGCCUGCGCAAGAACAGACAGCAACCCGGUAAGUAUCGCUCGCUGUUCUCUUGAAUUGACACUAAA